GGGUGCGAUCAUGCCACCACUAAUUCACCGGAUUCCAUUAGAACUCUGCAGUUAAGCGUGCUUGGGCGAGAGUAGUACUAGGAUGGGUGACCUCCUAGGAAGUCCUCGUGUUGCCCCCG
rnacentral:rRNA from 1 species